rnacentral:tRNA from 1 species
GCUUUAGUAGUUGAGUAACAACGGCGGUUUUUCAGGCCGCAGGUUUUGGGUAUAGGCCAAAUUAAAGUA